AAAUUGAAGAGUUUGAUCAUGGCUCAGAUUGAACGCUGGCGGCAGGCCUAACACAUGCAAGUCGAGCGGUAGCACAGGGAGCUUGCUCUCGGGUGACGAGCGGCGGACGGGUGAGUAAUGUCUGGGAAACUGCCUGAUGGAGGGGGAUAACUACUGGAAACGGUAGCUAAUACCGCAUAAUGUCGCAAGACCAAAGUGGGGGACCUUCGGGCCUCAUGCCAUCAGAUGUGCCCAGAUGGGAUUAGCUAGUAGGUGGGGUAACGGCUCACCUAGGCGACGAUCCCUAGCUGGUCUGAGAGGAUGACCAGCCACACUGGAACUGAGACACGGUCCAGACUCCUACGGGAGGCAGCAGUGGGGAAUAUUGCACAAUGGGCGCAAGCCUGAUGCAGCCAUGCCGCGUGUGUGAAGAAGGCCUUCGGGUUGUAAAGCACUUUCAGCGGGGAGGAAGGCGGUGAGGUUAAUAACCUCA
rnacentral:rRNA from 1 species